rnacentral:rRNA from 1 species
GACGAACGCUGGCGGCGUGCUUAACACAUGCAAGUCGAACGGAAAGGCCCUGCUUUUGUGGGGUGCUCGAGUGGCGAACGGGUGAGUAACACGUGAGUAACCUGCCCUUGACUUUGGGAUAACUUCAGGAAACUGGGGCUAAUACCGGAUAGGAGCUCCUGCUGCAUGGUGGGGGUUGGAAAGUUUCGGCGGUUGGGGAUGGACUCGCGGCUUAUCAGCUUGUUGGUGGGGUAGUGGCUUACCAAGGCUUUGACGGGUAGCCGGCCUGAGAGGGUGGCCGGCCACAUUGGGACUGAGAUACGGCCCAGACUCCCACGGGAGGCAGCAGUGGGGAAUAUUGCACAAUGGGCGGAAGCCUGAUGCAGCAACGCCGCGUGCGGGAUGACGGCCUUCGGGUUGUAAACCGCUUUCGCCUGUGACGAAGCGUGAGUGACGGUAAUGGGUAAAGAAGCACCGGCUAACUACGUG